UUUUUUUUUUUUUUUUUUUUUUUCAGGAAAAUUAUCUGCUUUCCAGGACUAGUAUUUUUCAUAUGAUAUCUGUCUACUUGUAUCACUUUAAUUAUGCCACUGUAACCUCUGCAGCAUAAUACAUUUAUGAUCUAGAAGCCAGUCCCAAAAACAAUAAAAAAAAUUUUUUUAAAUAAGAUAAUUCCAUUCUCUUCUCUCUUUGAAGACACAUCUAUUUAAAGACAAUACUAGCAAAUACUCCUUAAUAAAAAAAUUUCCUAUCUCUGGUGAUUUGGGUUUCAUACAUGAAACCUUUAAGUAUUAUUGCCUAGCAAAGUGAGAGAACAAAUCAAAAUGUACUACAUGCUGCAUUCAACCUCUCUGGCAAUGUCUAUUAUAAAAAAGAAAGAAAAAAGGUCUAAGGAUAAUACAAUGAAAUAAGUACCACUUUAAAAAAUAAUAAACAGGGGCACCUAGGUAGCUUAGUGAUUGAGAGUCUUCAGCUCAGGUCGUGGUCCCGGGGUCCUGGGGUCGAUUUCCACAUUCAUCUCCCCAGGAGGAGCCUGCUUCUGCCUCUGUAUAUGUCUCUGCCUCUCUCUGUGUGUCUCUCAUGAAUAAAUAAAUAAAAUCUUUAAAAUAAUAAUAAUAAUAAUAAAUAACACAUCAAUGUGGGUUCAGAAAACAGGCUUAACCUUUAGUGCUAUCCCACAACCCAAAUAUAUAACUCAAAGUCCAGUCCCAAACUGAUAAACCUGAAAAGGCUCAUUUUUUCUUUCAGCCUUUAGUAGGAGAAUGUGUGGGCCAGCAUUUUCUAAACUGUUAGUUCCAUAAAUGUCAACAUGUAUUUCUUGGAUAAGAGGAGUUCUGGCAUUAAAUAAACUGGGGAGGGAUGCAUCCCAUACUUCAAAAGUGCCUCAGACCUCUGCUGGGAAAGACUAAUUCCCGCCUGCCUUGACAUAGUCUCCCAAAUGUGUUUUAAAUAAAAAUCCCCAAUUCCCACCUCCCUCAAUUGUGAUUCAAUGAAUGAGUGGAGGUCCGGAUACUGUGAUUAUGAUGCCGGAUUUGGAAACCACUGCUAAAACCCAUGUUGGAGAUUCACAAGGCAGAUCAGAGAAUGAAAGAUUAUGGGGGAUCCCUGGGUGGCUCAGAGGUUUAGCGCCUGCCUUUGGCCCAGGGCGCGAUCCUGGAGUCCCAGGAUCGAGUCCCACAUCAGGCUCCCAGCAUGGAGCCUGCUUCUCCCUCCUCCUGUGUCUCUGCCCCUCUCUCUCUCUAUGUCUAUCAUAAAUAAAUAAAUCUUUAAAAAAAAAAAAAAGAAAAUUAAAGAUUAUGGAAAGUCACACAUUAAAAAUCCUGCUUCCUUCCUUUGGCCCGGAUGUUUGCCAAACUCACUUGACAUGGAAACUCCUCCUCUCCUGCCACUUUGUUCACCUUCCCCAUAACUGUCAACAUUCUCCCAUGGAAGAAAGUUCAGAAAACACUAAUAUAAGUAAAUCCAGUGUUUUCAUGACCCUGUAUCCUCAAAAUCUCAUAUAUAAAUAUAUAUAUAUGUAUUUUAUAUAUAUAUAUUUAACUAGAAAUGGUGACACUAGCAAACACAUUUAGAGUAGAAAUUUACUGCAAAAGGACUUUCUGGAUAUAUACUGGGUGGUUCAUAUUCAGACCUCAGUUUCCUUAUCCCCUAUCUCAUAUACCUGCAGUACUAUGCCAAAAAAAAAAAAAAAAAAAA
rnacentral:lncRNA from 1 species